GACGAACGCUGGCGGCGUGCUUAACACAUGCAAGUCGAACGAUGAAGCCCAGCUUGCUGGGUGGAUUAGUGGCGAACGGGUGAGUAACACGUGAGUAACCUGCCCUGGACUCUGGGAUAACCCCGAGAAAUCGGAGCUAAUACCGGAUAGGACCUUCUCCCGCAUGGGGGUUGGUGGAAAGUUUUUCGGUUUGGGAUGGACUCGCGGCCUAUCAGCUUGUUGGUGAGGUAAUGGCUCACCAAGGCGUCGACGGGUAGCCGGCCUGAGAGGGUGACCGGCCACACUGGGACUGAGACACGGCCCAGACGCCUACGGGAGGCAGCAGUGGGGAAUAUUGCACAAUGGGCGCAAGCCUGAUGCAGCAACGCCGCGUGCGGGAUGACGGCCUUCGGGUUGUAAACCGCUUUUAGUAAGGAAGAAGGGGCUUCGGCCUUGACGGUACUUGCAGAAAAAGGACCGGCUAACUACGUGCCAGCCGCCGCAGUAAUAC
rnacentral:rRNA from 1 species